AUGAACGCUGGCGGCGUGCUUAACACAUGCAAGUCGAACGGAAAGGCUCCUGCUUGCAGGGGUACUCGAGUGGCGAACGGGUGAGUAACACGUGGGUGAUCUGCCCUGCACUUCGGGAUAAGCCUGGGAAACUGGGUCUAAUACCGGAUAGGACGAUGGUUUGGAUGCCAUUGUGGAAAGUUUUUCGGUGUGGGAUGAGCUCGCGGCCUAUCAGCUUGUUGGUGGGGUAAUGGCCUACCAAGGCGUCGACGGGUAGCCGGCCUGAGAGGGUGUACGGCCACAUUGGGACUGAGAUACGGCCCAGACUCCUACGGGAGGCAGCAGUGGGGAAUAUUGCACAAUGGGCGCAAGCCUGAUGCAGCGACGCCGCGUGGGGGAUGACGGCCUUCGGGUUGUAAACUCCUUUCGCUAGGGACGAAGCGCAAGUGACGGUACCUGGAGAAGAGGCACCGGCUAACUACGUG
rnacentral:rRNA from 1 species